UACAGAGGUGGCAAGCGUUGUUCGGAAUUACUGGGCGUAAAGGGCGCGUAGGCGGCUCGAUAAGUCCCGCGUGAAAUCCCCCGGCUCAACUGGGGAACUGCGCGGGAAACUGCCGAGCUUGAGUUCGGGAGAGGGCAGUGGAAUUCCCGGUGUAGCGGUGAAAUGCGUAGAUAUCGGGAGGAACAUCAGUGGCGAAGGCGGCUGCCUGGCUCAAUACUGACACUCAGGUGCGACAGCGUGGGGAGCAAACAGG
rnacentral:rRNA from 1 species